AGAGUUUGAUCCUGGCUCAGGAUGAACGCUGGCGGCGUGCCUAAUACAUGCAAGUCGAGCGAACGGACGAGAAGCUUGCUUCUCUGAUGUUAGCGGCGGACGGGUGAGUAACACGUGGAUAACCUACCUAUAAGACUGGGAUAACUUCGGGAAACCGGAGCUAAUACCGGAUAAUAUUUUGAACCGCAUGGUUCAAAAGUGAAAGACGGUCUUGCUGUCACUUAUAGAUGGAUCCGCGCUGCAUUAGCUAGUUGGUAAGGUAACGGCUUACCAAGGCAACGAUGCAUAGCCGACCUGAGAGGGUGAUCGGCCACACUGGAACUGAGACACGGUCCAGACUCCUACGGGAGGCAGCAGUAGGGAAUCUUCCGCAAUGGGCGAAAGCCUGACGGAGCAACGCCGCGUGAGUGAUGAAGGUCUUCGGAUCGUAAAACUCUGUUAUUAGGGAAGAACAUAUGUGUAAGUAACUGUGCACAUCUUGACGGUACCUAAUCAGAAAGCCACGGCUAACUACGUGCCAGCAGCCGCGGUAAUACGUAGGUGGCAAGCGUUAUCCGGAAUUAUUGGGCGUAAAGCGCGCGUAGGCGGUUUUUUAAGUCUGAUGUGAAAGCCCACGGCUCAACCGUGGAGGGUCAUUGGAAACUGGAAAACUUGAGUGCAGAAGAGGAAAGUGGAAUUCCAUGUGUAGCGGUGAAAUGCGCAGAGAUAUGGAGGAACACCAGUGGCGAAGGCGACUUUCUGGUCUGUAACUGACGCUGAUGUGCGAAAGCGUGGGGAUCAAACAGGAUUAGAUACCCUGGUAGUCCACGCCGUAAACGAUGAGUGCUAAGUGUUAGGGGGUUUCCGCCCCUUAGUGCUGCAGCUAACGCAUUAAGCACUCCGCCUGGGGAGUACGACCGCAAGGUUGAAACUCAAAGGAAUUGACGGGGACCCGCACAAGCGGUGGAGCAUGUGGUUUAAUUCGAAGCAACGCGAAGAACCUUACCAAAUCUUGACAUCCUUUGACAACUCUAGAGAUAGAGCCUUCCCCUUCGGGGGACAAAGUGACAGGUGGUGCAUGGUUGUCGUCAGCUCGUGUCGUGAGAUGUUGGGUUAAGUCCCGCAACGAGCGCAACCCUUAAGCUUAGUUGCCAUCAUUAAGUUGGGCACUCUAAGUUGACUGCCGGUGACAAACCGGAGGAAGGUGGGGAUGACGUCAAAUCAUCAUGCCCCUUAUGAUUUGGGCUACACACGUGCUACAAUGGACAAUACAAAGGGCAGCGAAACCGCGAGGUCAAGCAAAUCCCAUAAAGUUGUUCUCAGUUCGGAUUGUAGUCUGCAAC
rnacentral:rRNA from 2 species